AGCGAGCUGCAGAGAGAGCCCCCUGCACACACAGUCAGUCUCUGCUUGCAGCUGCAGGAAAAACUACAGCAAGUGGGGUGGGGGGGAAGAGAGGAUGAAGGCCCUGAGGAAAACGUCGAUGUAGAGAGGCAAACUUAAGAAUCGCAUCAGCCACAGAAUAUUUUGUCUGUCCAGAUACACAAGCCUCAAUAUCUUCUGGGCUUAGCUGAGUCUGUAAGAAGAGGUGAAGCCUACUAUCCGAAAGCAAUAAGGCAUUUUGUAGGAUCCUUUAAAGAGAAA